AUGAACGCUGGCGGCGUGCCUAAUACAUGCAAGUCGAGCGAACGGACGAGAAGCUUGCUUCUCUGAUGUUAGCGGCGGACGGGUGAGUAACACGUGGAUAACCUACCUAUAAGACUAGGAUAACUUCGGGAAACCGGAGCUAAUACCGGAUGAUAUUUUGAACCGCAUGGUUCAAAAGUGAAAGACGGUCUUGCUGUCACUUAUAGAUGGAUCCGCGCUGCAUUAGCUAGUUGGUAAGGUAACGGCUUACCAAGGCAACGAUGCAUAGCCGACCUGAGAGGGUGAUCGGCCACACUGGAACUGAGACACGGUCCAGACUCCUACGGGAGGCAGCAGUAGGGAAUCUUCCGCAAUGGGCGAAAGCCUGACGGAGCAACGCCGCGUGAGUGAUGAAGGUCUUCGGAUCGUAAAACUCUGUUAUUAGGGAAGAACAUAUGUGUAAGUAACUGUGCACAUCUUGACGGUACCUAAUCAGAAAGCCACGGCUAACUACGUG
rnacentral:rRNA from 1 species